rnacentral:rRNA from 1 species
GACGAACGCUGGCGGCGUGCUUAACACAUGCAAGUCGAGCGGAGCGGCGAACGGGUGAGUAAUGCGUGAGUAACUGCCCUCCCCUCUGGGAUAACAGUUGGACACGGCUGCUAAUACCGGAUAGUGGGGGAUGACCCGCGGCCUAUCAGCUGGUUGGUGGGGGAGUGGCCUCCCAAGGCGACGACGGGUAGCGGGCCUGAGCGGGCGACCGGCCACAUUGGGCUGUGAUACAGCCCAAACUCCUACGGGAGGCAGCAGUGGGGAAUAUUGCGCAAGGGGGGAAACACUGAGGCAGCAACGCGCGUGCGGGGGGACGGCGUUCGGGUUGUAUACCGCUUUCAACCAUGGCGCGGUAGUGGCAGAAGAAGCACCGGCUAACUACGUGCCAGCCGCCGCGGUAAUAC